UUUGCAAGUCUUACAUAAAUGUAGGAUUUAAACAGAGAAAUGUCCCUGUGCAGUAGCUAUUUUGAUAUUCCCAGCUCACCUUCCCAGCCCUGCUGUUUUGAAAUGAGCUCUCAGGGUUGAAUUUAACAUCCUUACUUUCAAGAAACCAAGCACACAAAAGGACAAGGUUUCCUUUCUCGUUUUUACUGCUGUUUCCAGUCCAGCUCUGAAAUGCUAUAUUUAGAACCCUGUGUUUUAAUGCUGUGGCAUGAACUUCUGGGAUUUCCCCUGGCUGAUAUAAAAUAGAAGAUCUGCACUUUGGUAUUAGCAGUCAGCCAGGAAAUCCGUGCCUGGUGCCAGAAAUGGGCCUUCCUUCAUAAAUCUGUAUUUAUUUUCAUUUCCUUGUGCGGCGGUGACGUGCCAGAUCAGCUGUGCUGCUGUCCUGACACGUUCUGUAGUGCCAUGGAACGGGGGAAGCUGGACUGGAAAGCAGAGACAGGAUUUGCCUCUGAUUCACUGAGGGAAGCACAGCUGGGAAAUGCUGGUUUUCAGGGGAUCAGGGAUGGGACUGUGUUCUGAUCCCCAUAAAGAACUGGCAAAAGGCACUUCCACAGGGAGCUUCACACGUUAGCAAAGUGAUCAGUCCUGUCCCAUUGCCCUUAACAGACUUAUCUUUUAUUGAUUAUAGAUUUAUUACAAAGCAGGAAAGCUGUGAUCAAGUGGGCUGAAAUCAAUGGAACAAUCCCUGGCAGUGCCCAAGGUGGGGUUGGAUGGGGUUUGGAGCACCCUGGGAUAGUGGAAGGUGUCCCUGCCCAUGGCAGGGUGGAAUGAGAUGAACUUUAAUCCCAAACCAUUCCAUGAUUCUAUAAUGCAGAGACCUGCAUGCUCUUUCAGCUGUCUGAGCAAACCUCUGUUUCAGUGUAAAAUGAGGAUUAUUCUGCCAGUUCAUCAUUUCACCGCCCCUGGAGGCGUCCAAGGAAGGGCACUUGGUGCUCUGGGCUUGGAUUUGGUCUUGGAGGGCUUUUCCAACCCCAGUGGUUCUGUGAUUCUAUGAUUCAGUCCACUUUCUGUGUAGUCUGUGAAGGAAAAAGGCUCUGUGUAAAUAACCUGUAAUUACACUUCUUUUGGGAUCCAAGUUAAUUCCCAAAACUCCUGUUUCCUGUUGCUGCUCUGGCUGGUCCCUUCCCCUCGGCUGGGAAGGUUUUACAGGGUAAGGGUUACGUGAAGCACUUUCUGAAGUUCUAUUUUUGAGAGUCCUGAAAGGUGACACCUGUGUGGAAGUCAUUGCCAUCCUUAAAAUAACCGGUGUGGCAGCUCUGGGCACUGUGACAUUGGUGGUGAGCAGGGACACACAUGGCACGGGGGGUGGCACUGGCUCUUAGCGGGGUUUUACAGCACCAGGGACCGUGGAGUUUAAUCCUGACAGGGCCUCAAGGUGUGACAGCUCGAUAAAUAUUGAAUGUGCCCUUAAUCUCAGGGUGGGGAGUGCUGUACCCCCAGCAGGAAGUGCUGAUCCUCCCUUUGUGAGCGCAAGAUCCUACAGUGAGUAUCUCCCACCGUAUCGGCCCAGAUAUGGCAAGUGUACUCAGAGGGAUAUUGUGCAAAGAGCAAACAGCAGCAGGGAGGGCUUUUGUUCCCCAGGCACCGAGCCCAGGUCAGCAGGUGACAGACACACUGCAGAACUCCCAAAAUUGCAGGCUUGGAAUCUGAUCUGAUCUGGAAAGGGAGGUUCUCUCCCCAGAAAGGAGAGCUUAGUGCGGUGCCCUCCUGCAGAGGAAUGGGAGAAGGGAGAGCGCAGGGACAGUGGGAGAUGUUGGGAGCUGAUCCCAGCGCUGGGCACCCCAAAUCCUGCCGGGGGCCGUGGCUCUCACCCCACACAGCCCUUCCUCUCAUCCCUGGAAGAAAGGCCAGCAGGUAAAGAUCCCAUCCUGCUGACUGGUCUGUGCCCUCUGCCCCUCCGUGCCUGUUCCUGACUGCCGGAGCUGCCUCUGUGCUCUGCAUUCCCUCCUCACUCCAGCCCUGGAUCCGUGACGCUUUUCCUGGCACCCUUCCCAAGCUCUCUUGCUGCCAAGUCAGACUCAGUACAAGCAUCUUGUAUUCCCUUUCAAAUCCUUUCCUAUCGUGGCAAAUAAACCCACUGUCCUCCACACACACCCUCCUGAUAUUAUCCUUGACAGCUCUUCACUUCUGGCACUCAGCUGCUGCUUAAUCAUAUGGUUUCUUUCUCUGAGUCACCUCAUGUGCUCUUGCAGCCAAGAACUCGACUUUGAUUUGGCAAUGUCACGGCAGGAGCACAUCCCUCGGGAUCCCAUUGCUGCCCCGCAUGUCCCAGUGCCAGCAGCACGCUCUGUGCUGUGCUCCGGGCUGGCAUCGGUGCCUCUGGAGAGCGGGACCAUUCCCUCCCCUCUGUCCUCCCGCACACACCACCAGCACCCUGCGCCACCCCGCUUUUCCUCAUUUUAUCAUUUCCCUGCUGCUUUGCGGAGUUUCUGUUCUUAGCACAGAGCGACCUGCCUGACCUUGGCUCCCAGGUAGCCCUGGCGCUCAGAUCCCUUCUCCAAACAUCCUCCCGCUGAGGCCCCUCUCCCCCCACGCUCUCGUCCUUGUGACAUUUGCAAAGAGGGGGCAAGCGGAGCAAACCAAACAAAUCCAGCAAAUACCGCUGGAAAAGGGGAACCAGCGCGAUGUGCAGGGAGCACCGGGAAUAACCUCGCUGCCUCCCGAGCCCUGUCCUUCCCCUGACCCCUCCUGCUGCACGUCUGCUCCGCGCUGCGGGCCGGCACGGGACCCCCCGCUCCUCCCCAAAUCCCCCGUGUACCCACGGAGCGAUAACCGAGCUCUGCUCCUCCCUAGGAAAACAACCGGAGCUUCCCACAGGAGCUGUUUGCAGACAACGCUGCAAAACCGCUUCCCCGCGCCGCUCUUUGUACUGAGCAAAUACAAGGGCUGCCUAAAGCCAGCGGGCUGGGAUAAAAGUUGGAUUUCUCAUUGUCCGGAGAACGCUGCAGGUGUGGACACACCUAUUCACCCUCCCAGCCCCUCGGCCUGUCCCGCUUUGUGCGAACAGGGUGUUGGUGUUUAUGGCCUUUUUCCCCAGCUGCCCACUGGCACGGACUUUGCUCCUCCGGGCUGGGAUUUCUAAGCAGCGGGAGGCUUUCCACGUGUGUUUGAGAAGGUACAAAGCCUGCCGGAAAACAAUGGAAAUAGCUGCCUUAUGA